AACGCACGAGACCUGCGGACCUGCGGAAGGAUCAUUAAUGAGAAGCUGCCCCUCGUGGGUAAACCUCCCACCCUCUGUGAACUUACCUUUGUUGCUUUGGCAGGCCCGUCCUCUGGACCGCCGGCUUCGGCUGGCCCGUGCCUGCCAGAGGAUUCCAAACCCUGUCUGUCAGUGUUGUCUGAGUCUAUAUGAAAUCGUUAAAACUUUUAGCAAUGGAUCUCUAGAUCGGAAGAGCACACG
rnacentral:misc_RNA from 1 species